GAUGAACGCUGGCGGCGUGCCUAAUACAUGCAAGUCGAGCGAACAGAUAAGGAGCUUGCUCCUUUGACGUUAGCGGCGGACGGGUGAGUAACACGUGGGUAACCUACCUAUAAGACUGGGAUAACUUCGGGAAACCGGAGCUAAUACCGGAUAACAUUUGGAACCGCAUGGUUCUAAAGUGAAAGAUGGUUUUGCUAUCACUUAUAGAUGGACCCGCGCCGUAUUAGCUAGUUGGUAAGGUAACGGCUUACCAAGGCAACGAUACGUAGCCGACCUGAGAGGGUGAUCGGCCACGCUGGAACUGAGACACGGUCCAGACUCCUACGGGAGGCAGCAGUAGGGAAUCUUCCGCAAUGGGCGAAAGCCUGACGGAGCAACGCCGCGUGAGUGAUGAAGGGUUUCGGCUCGUAAAACUCUGUUAUUAGGGAAGAACAAAUGUGUAAGUAACUGUGCACGUCUUGACGGUACCUAAUCAGAAAGCCACGGCUAACUACGUG
rnacentral:rRNA from 1 species